ACAGCCUGUCGGUCUGUCGCUUAUAUAAGUGAUUAUAUGAGAGGAAAGUCCGGGCAACACAGAGCACCAUACUUCCUAACGGGAAGCUAUCCGCAAGGGUAGAGUAGCGUAACAGAAAAUAACCGUUUCGCUUAGCGGAAUAAGGGUGAAAAGGUGAGGUAAGAGCUCACCGGGUUUCAUAGCAAUAUGAGAUGCCGUACGUCUUAUGGGUUGUAAGGUCAUGUAUACCGGCGCAGUAGAGUUGCUCGCUCGAUGCCGGGGGGUAGACCGCUAGAGCUUGUCGGUGACGGCAAGUCGAGAUAAAUGGCAGACGCUUUAUCUUAUUUAUUAAAAUAAGUAAAGAACAGAACCCGGCUUACAGACAGGCUGUUAUU
rnacentral:RNase_P_RNA from 1 species